rnacentral:rRNA from 1 species
CGCGAAACCUUUACACUGCACGCAAGUGCGAUAAGGGGACCCCGAGUGCGAGGGCAUACAGUCCUCGCUUUUGUACACCGUAAGGAGGUGUACGAAUAAGGGCUGGGCAAGACCGGUGCCAGCCGCCGCGGUAAUACCGGCAGCCCGAGUGAUGGCCGCUAUUAUUGGGCCUAAAGCGUCCGUAGCCGGCCGGACAAGUCCGUCGGGAAAUCCGCACGCUCAACGUGCGGGCGUCCGGCGGAAACUGUCCGGCUUGGGGCCGGAAGAUCCGAGGGGUACGUCCGGGGUAGGAGUGAAAUCCCGUAAUCCUGGACGGACCGCCGGUGGCGAAAGCGCCUCGGAAGGACGGACCCGACGGUGAGGGACGAAAGCUAGGGUCUCGAACCGGAUUAGAUACCCGGGUAGUCCUAGCCGUAAACGAUGCUCGCUAGGUGUGGCACAGGCUACGAGCCUGUGCUGUGCCGUAGGGAAGCCGUGAAGCGAGCCGCCUGGGAAGUACGUCCGCAAGGAUGAAACUUAAAGGAAUUGGCGGGGGAGCACUACAACC